GGGCGGUUAGCUCAGUUGGUUAGAGCACCUGCUUUACACGCAGGGUGUCACAGGUUCGAGUCCUGUACUGCCCACCA
rnacentral:tRNA from 1 species